rnacentral:rRNA from 1 species
UUGGGGGCGGGGCCUAAUACAUGCAAGUCGAACGAACUCUGGUAUUGAUUGGGUGCUUGCAUCAUGAUUUACAUUUCCAGUGAGUGGCGAACUGGUGAGUAACACGUGGGAAACCUGCCCAGAAGCGGGGGAUAACACCUGGAAACAGAUGCUAAUACCGCAUAACAACUUGGACCGCAUGGUCCGAGUUUGAAAGAUGGCUUCGGCUAUCACUUUUGGAUGGUCCCGCGGCGUAUUAGCUAGAUGGUGGGGUAACGGCUCACCAUGGCAAUGAUACGUAGCCGACCUGAGAGGGUAAUCGGCCACAUUGGGACUGAGACACGGCCCAAACUCCUACGGGAGGCAGCAGUAGGGAAUCUUCCACAAUGGACGAAAGUCUGAUGGAGCAACGCCGCGUGAGUGAAGAAGGGUUUCGGCUCGUAAAACUCUGUUGUUAAAGAAGAACAUAUCUGAGAGUAACUGUUCAGGUAUUGACGGUAUUUAACCAGAAAGCCACGGCUAACUACGUGCCAGCAGCCGCGGUAAUACGUAGGUGGCAAGCGUUGUCCGGAUUUAUUGGGCGUAAAGCGAGCGCAGGCGGUUUUUUAAGUCUGAUGUGAAAGCCUUCGGCUCAACCGAAGAAGUGCAUCGGAAACUGGGAAACUUGAGUGCAGAAGAGGACAGUGGAACUCCAUGUGUAGCGGUGAAAUGCGUAGAUAUAUGGAAGAACACCAGUGGCGAAGGCGGCUGUCUGGUCUGUAACUGACGCUGAGGCUCGAAAGUAUGGGUAGCAAACAGGAUUAGAUACCCUGGUAGUCCAUACCGUAAACGAUGAAUGCUAAGUGUUGGAGGGUUUCCGCCCUUCAGUGCUGCAGCUAACGCAUUAAGCAUUCCGCCUGGGGAGUACGGCCGCAAGGCUGAAACUCAAAGGAAUUGACGGGGGCCCGCACAAGCGGUGGAGCAUGUGGUUUAAUUCGAAGCUACGCGAAGAACCUUACCAGGUCUUGACAUACUAUGCAAAUCUAAGAGAUUAGACGUUCCCUUCGGGGACAUGGAUACAGGUGGUGCAUGGUUGUCGUCAGCUCGUGUCGUGAGAUGUUGGGUUAAGUCCCGCAACGAGCGCAACCCUUAUUAUCAGUUGCCAGCAUUAAGUUGGGCACUCUGGUGAGACUGCCGGUGACAAACCGGAGGAAGGUGGGGAUGACGUCAAAUCAUCAUGCCCCUUAUGACCUGGGCUACACACGUGCUACAAUGGAUGGUACAACGAGUUGCGAACUCGCGAGAGUAAGCUAAUCUCUUAAAGCCAUUCUCAGUUCGGAUUGUAGGCUGCAACUCGCCUACAUGAAGUCGGAAUCGCUAGUAAUCGCGGAUCAGCAUGCCGCGGUGAAUACGUUCCCGGGCCUUGUACACACCGCCCGUCACACCAUGAGAGUUUGUAACACCCAAAGUCGGUGGGGUAACCUUUUAGGAACCAGCCGCCUAAGGUGACCUGAU